CCUACGGGUGGCAGCAGUGGGGAAUAUUGCACAAUGGGGGAAACCCUGAUGCAGCGACGCCGCGUGAGUGAAGAAGUAUUUCGGUACGUAAAGCUCUAUCAGCAGGGAAGAAAAUGACGGUACCUGACUAAGACGCCCCGGCUAACUACGGGCCAGCAGCCGCGGUAAUACGUAGGGGGCAAGCGUUAUACGGAGUUACUGGGUGUAAAGGGAGCGUAGACGGCAGCGCAAGUCUGGAGUGAAAUCCCAUGGCUUAACCAUGGAACUGCUUUGGAAACUGUGCAGCUAGAGGGCAGGAGAGGGUAGCGGAAUUCCUAGGUUAGCGGGGAAAUGCGUAGAUAUUAGGAGGAACACCAGUGGCGAAGGCGGAUUACCGGACUGUAACUGACGUUGAGGCUCGAAAGCGUGGGGAGCAAACAGGAUUAGAUACCCUGGUAGUC
rnacentral:rRNA from 1 species